GUGAACGCUGGCGGCGUGGUUUAGGCAUGCAAGUCGAACGAACUCUUCGGAGUUAGUGGCGGACGGGUGAGUAACACGUGGGAACGUGCCUUUUGGUUCGGAAUAACUCAGGGAAACUUGUGCUAAUACCGAAUGUGCCCUUCGGGGGAAAGAUUUAUCGCCAUUAGAGCGGCCCGCGUCUGAUUAGCUAGUUGGUGGGGUAAAGGCCCACCAAGGCUACGAUCAGUAGCUGGUCUGAGAGGAUGACCAGCCACAUUGGGACUGAGACACGGCCCAAACUCCUACGGGAGGCAGCAGUGGGGAAUCUUGCGCAAUGGGCGAAAGCCUGACGCAGCCAUGCCGCGUGUAUGAUGAAGGUCUUAGGAUUGUAAAAUACUUUCACCGGUGAAGAUAAUGACUGUAGCCGGAGAAGAAGCCCCGGCUAACUUCGU
rnacentral:rRNA from 1 species